CCAACAUCUCCAAUCUCGUCUCAUUGAUUAGACUCCAAGCUGACUCCUGACUCCAAUUAGCUUUUGAAGAAGUAAUUAGCCUAGGGGUUCACACUUUUUCUUUCCAUAAAAGUUGCAGUACAGCUUGCGUGAUGCUGCAGAAUUCUAUGGCAAGUUAUUUAAGUGCCAACCACUGGUACCAUUAAUGCUAGUUAGUGCUAGUUUGACCACCAAGAGGGCAUCUUUGAGAAGCAUUUGAUAGCCUUCAAUAGUGGCUGUACUAGAAAAUGUGAAACCUUUUUAUGUAAGAACACAGUAAUUUGAUUAAUAUUGUGGUGUUUCUACAACAACUCAAAUUUCUCUGGGUUUCCAUUAGGAUGGAACGGAAAAUAUGUCACUACAGCGUGACGGUCGGGAGUAGGCUACACUACUUGGCUAUUUUGCUAAAGAAUCCCUCUGUCGUGCGGGAGACGGGUUCAAUUCUCUGACGGGGAGGAAGGAGUAGGCUGUCCUUGUAAAAUAAGAAUUUGUUCUUAACUGACUUGCCUACCCAAACGGAGAUUCAGUGAAAAUAAAAAUCUCAUUGAUUUAUCAAGACCAGUCCCCAUGCUUGUCUCAGAACAGUGCGAAACAGUGCUAAAAUAGUUGUAGGCUAUUGCUUCAAAUCCUAUUGCUUCUAACUUCAAUAUGCUCUUCAAAUAAAUAAGACUAUUUUUAACAGCACAUUACUCAACACUAGUGGCGGCCAGCACCGGGAGACCCAUGAGGCGGCUUUUGGAUUGAAUUCUGAAUCCUCUAUAUGUAAUUAUUGGCAGUCACGUCAUAUUUUUCGAUAUACUGUAGGCCUACCAUAGACUCAGUAGUGUUGAGUAAUGUGCUGUUAAAAGUGGUGUGGGUCUUAUUUGAAGAGCAUAUUGAAGUUGGAAGCAAUAGAAUUUGAAGCACAAAGUAUCAAAAUACAGAGCGGUGUUGGUAAAGGAAUAUUGUCCUGCUAAUAGCCCAUAAAGGGCUAUAAUAUUACUGUAUGUGGUGUCCAGGUCAGGAAAACCAAAGCAUUUCUUAAUUAAAGACCAUCAGAAAGAAUGUUGGUACUUAUUUGUUUUGAUCCAAAGCCAUGAAUGAGUGAGUUACUCAGCUUUAUGUAGGUGCCGGGCUAUAUGACUUAAAGGCCAAAACAUUUAUUUCUGUUUUUAUAGGGAGAGAAAUGCUGGGCCAAUUGUGCGCCGCCCUAUGUGAUUCCCAAUCAGGGGUCGGAUGUGAUCCAUUAUUUUUUGUCUUUUCUGGUGGAUUAAACUGAAAUUGCAACCAAUCACGGCCAACCUAACUACCAGCUACCUGCUAAUAGCCAUGAUGGUGCUGGACAACGUGACCAUGUGUGUAUUUUCCAGUGAACAACAAUUUGUUAACCUUCAUUAGACAACUUUGUUCCAAUAUUUAUGUAAUUCAGUGAUAUUUAUUCCCAUAGUAAUUUGUUAUGGAUCCAUAACUAAGUAAACAUCUGCAUUUUGAAAGAGUAUUUUUUUAAAUAAUUUUUUAUUAACGAAAGCAUAAAGAUACGGAUGAAGAAAUACAGUACUGUAAAGUAUAUGCUUUUACAUUUGGAUAAUAAAGCAUUUAAAGAGUUUUGCAUAUAUAAGCCACCUGAAUUUGUUUAUUAGGCUAUAGCAGAACAGCACAACAGUCCGGACCGCCCUUGCUGUGCCUGGGUAGCAGUUGAUCAAGUUCUGUUGUCAGAAGAGGAAUGGAAAUGUCAGGAUGAACCGACGACCUGAUGAAACUGCCAGAUGUUUAUCUUUCUGCUUGUCUGCCUUCAAUGGCUCGAUCUCGGUCUUCAAAGUUUGAAUCUGAUCCAUGUGCACCUUCAUCAGAUGAGCAGAAUGGUACCGCCCUGAGCCCCCAUCGAUUAGUGGCCUAUGAACAGCAAGACUAUUCAAGCCAUCGACUCACUGAUGAAUGAAGAUUAUGAGCGAUCGGCAAAGGCAAUCUGUAAUCUGAUGGCAUCACGGCACAACAUCAACAUUGCUCUAAUCACUGUCAGAAGACAGUUGAAGAAACUGGCGUGGACUUAUGGAAAGGCUCGGUUCGGCCCGAUAAUUUGUCUGACGAAUAAAGAACUUUGCGUCCUGCGGGUCCAGGCAUGGAUCAAAUCUGGCAAGACAUUCAAUGUCAUCUUCACAGACGAAUCAACCGUGGCCCUUGAGCAAUUGGCUUAAAAUUGCUACACAAAAAAGAAAGAAGGUUAAGCAAGCCGAGUCCCAAGCAUCCGCUCAAACUCGACGUGUGGGGCAAUUUCUCGCCAGGGACCAGGCCCAAAUUAGAUUUUUGAUGGUGUCAUGGCUCAAGAUUUCUUUGAGGAAGAAAUCAAGAGAUAUGCUGGACCAUAUGUCAGAGAUGUGUUUCUGGGACCACAUUGUUUCUUUCAAGGUCACUUGCUCUGAGACCUUGAAGUAGUGGUUCCCCUUGCUCUGCAACGGCCGUGGCAUUUGUGGAGCAAUGGGUAACGAUGCUUCGUGGGUGACUGUUGUUGAUGUGUGCAGAGGGUCCCUGGUUCGCGCCCGGGUAUGGGCGAGGGGACGGUCUAAAGUUAUACUGUUACAUUUAGGCCUAUGUACAUGUAUAUUUCUAGUGUUGUACCUAAUGUUGGCUGUUAGGCUAAAUGUUUUUUUCAAAUGCGGACAAUGACCCAAAACACACUGCCGCCCGGGUUUGCAUUGCAAAUGAGGGCAUAAACUGAGUCAAGAUGCCAGCAGAUUUUAUGUAGUAAAAUAAAGGUUAAAUAAAUAAGACAACACCUACGGUAUGCCUACAGUGUAUCUAAAAAUGUUUUUUAUUAAUCUCAUCUUGUUGGUCUACUGAUUUUAAACCCGAUCGAACUUGUUUGGCAUCAACUGAAAAUAUUAAUCCAUAUCUCUGCCAAGCCUACAAGCAAAGAUGAACUUGUGAAGGACAUCAAGAUGUUUUGGCAAGAGAAAUUGAUGCUACUACAAUGCAACAAAUACAUUGAUCAUCUCAGCGUGGUCGUGGAAGUGCAAUAUUUCAAUAACCAUCUGCAUUUUGAAUGUCUUCUUUCUAGUUAUUUUAUUAACAAAAGCAUGAAGAUGUUGAUGAAGAAAUACUGUACUGCUGUUUUCAGUUAUAAAUGUAACACUUCAGAGUACUUAAGCGUUGAAUACAUUGCAGAUAGGGGGAUGUUCUCUCUUCAGUAGCACUUCAGUAGCCGGGCUAUAAAGAGUCUAAUCGGGCAACAAGUGUUUGAAAACCUGUUUUCAUAAUUCCACUGUCUGUCCAUCACUACUGUAAAUAAACACAGUAUCUUGUUUA